AGUUUGAGUUCUGGCUCAGGAGUGAACGCUGGCGGCGUGCUUAACACAUGCAAGUCGAACGGUGCUUAAUGAAACCUAGUGAUUUAAGCACAGUGGCGGACGGGUGAGUAACGCGUGGGUAACCUGCCGCAUGCAGGGGGACAACAGAGGGAAACUUCUGCUAAUACCGCAUAAGCGCACGGGAUCGCAUGAUCCAGUGUGAAAAGAUUUGUCGGCAUGCGAUGGACCCGCGUCUGAUUAGGCAGUUGGUGAGGUAACGGCCCACCAAACCUACGAUCAGUAGCCGGCCUGAGAGGGUGAACGGCCACAUUGGGACUGAGACACGGCCCAAACUCCUACGGGAGGCAGCAGUGGGGAAUAUUGCACAAUGGGGGGAAACCCUGAUGCAAGCGACGCCGCGUGAGUGAAGAAGCAUUUCGGUGCGUAAAGCUCUGUCAGCAGGAAAGAAAAUGACGGUACCUGACCAAGAAGCCCCGGCUAACUACGUGCCAGCCGCCGC
rnacentral:rRNA from 1 species